AUUGAACGCUGGCGGCAUGCCUAACACAUGCAAGUCGAGCGAGCGGCGGCCGGGUGAGUAAUGUAUGGGGACUGCCCGAUAGAGGGGGAUAACUACUGGCCACGGUGGCUAAUACCGCAUACUGUUGGUUAACCCAUAUGGGAUUGGCGAGUAGGUAAGGUAAUGGCUUACUUAGGCGACGAUCCCUAGCUGGUUUGAGAGGAUGAUCAGCCACACUGGGACUGAGACACGGCGCAGAGUCCUACGGAGGAAGCAGUGGGGAAUAUUGCACAAGGGGCGCAAGCGUGAUGCAGCCAUGCCGCGUGUAUGAAGAAGGCCCUAGGGUUGUAAAGUACUUUCAGUCGGGAGGCGUUACCGACAGAAGAAGCACCGGCUAACUCCGUGCCAGCAGCCGCGGUAAUUC
rnacentral:rRNA from 1 species